rnacentral:rRNA from 1 species
CGUAGUACUACCUCUAGUGGGGGAUAGCUUCGGGAAACUGAAGGUAAUACCGCAUGUGGUGGGCCGACAUAUGUUGGUUCACUAAAGCCGUAAGGCGCUUGGUGAGGGGCUUGCGUCCGAUUAGCUAGUUGGUGGGGUAAUGGCCUCACCAAGGUCUUCGAUCGGUAGCUGGUCUGAGAGGAUGAUCAGCCACACUGGGACUGAGACACGGCCCAGACUCCUACGGGAGGCAGCAGCAAGGAAUCUUGGGCAAUGGGCGAAAGCCUGACCCAGCAACGCCGCGUGAGGGAUGAAGGCUUUCGGGUUGUAAACCUCUUUUCAUAGGGAAGAAUAAUGACGGUACCUGUGGAAUAAGCUUCGGCUAACUACGUGCCAGCAGCCGCGGUAAUACGUAGGAAGCAAGCGUUAUCCGGAUUUAUUGGGCGUAAAGUGAGCGUAGGUGGUCUUUCAAGUUGGAUGUGAAAUUUCCCGGCUUAACCGGGACGAGUCAUUCAAUACUGUUGGACUAGAGUACAGCAGGAGAAAACGGAAUUCCCGGUGUAGUGGUAAAAUGCGUAGAUAUCGGGAGGAACACCAGAGGCGAAGGCGGUUUUCUAGGUUGUCACUGACACUGAGGCUCGAAAGCGUGGGGAGCGAACAGAAUUAGGUACUCUGGUAGUCCACGCCUUAAACUAUGGACACUAGGUAUAGGGAGUAUCGACCCUCUCUGUGCCGAAGCUAACGCUUUAAGUGUCCCGCCUGGGGGAGUACGGUCGCAAGGCUAAAACUCAAAGGAAUUGACGGGGGCCCGCACAAGCAGCGGAGCGUGUUGGUUUAAUUCGAUGCUACACGAAGAACCUUACCAAGAUUUGACAUGCAUGUAGUAGUGAACUGAAAGGGGAACGACCUGUUAAGUCAGGAACUUGCACAGGUGCUGCAUGGCUGUCGUCAGCUCGUGCGCGUGAGGUGUUUGGUUAAGUCCUGCAACGAGCGCAACCCUUGUUGCUAGUUAAAUUUUCUAGCGAGACUGCCCCGCGAAACGGGGAGGAAGGUGGGGAUGACGUCAAGUCAGCAUGGCCUUUAUAUCUUGGGCUACACCACACGCUACAAUGGACAGAACAAUAGGUUGCAACAGUGCGAACUGGAGCUAAUCCCCAAAGCUGUCCUCAUUUAAUUAUUGCAGGUGUCCGCCUAGCAUGCAUGAA